rnacentral:tRNA from 1 species
AGUGCGGGUAGCACACUGGACUUGCACUCCGGAGGUUCCGGGUUCGAUUCCCGG